UGGGGUGUGCUGAGCCAAGUGCUGCUAACCUUUGGGAAGUUGACUAUAUUUCUGAAUAGAAGCACUUAAUGAAAGAAAAGUAAAUGAUUUUGGCAGCGUUGAUGAACAACCAACUCAAACAGCAGCAAUGAAGAAGAUGGAUCAAGUGAUGAGCAGUGGGUUCUGACAGUCUCCAUGACGCCUUGCAGCCAGACAGCUGUUCCACCUGGUUUCACCAUAAAGCUUUGUCCCAAAGAAAUCGAAUUGGAGCUUCCCUGGCUGGAGACUGGUUCAUCACUCUUUCCUAUGAAGAGCUUUCCAGAAAAGGACCCUAACACCCCUGGCGAUGAUUUUCUCUGACAACAUGUGUGGUGUGUGCUCUUCUUUGACCACAUAUCAACUCUCUAUGUAUCGCUGACAAAGUAGGUCUGGACAAAUUUUCCUAAAAAUGUGUGUUCUUGAACUAAAGUAUGUAGAACAAAGAUCCAUACUAAUAAAUAUAUCUGUGGAAGGAACAAAGGGAGUCACUCUGAAGUCUUAAGGAGAAAUCUUGCUAUUCCCAUUCCGAAAAAGGAUCAGCCAGGUACAGAAGAACCAGGCUUGGCUGUCAGGAAGGCGUCUUGGUUCCCAAGCAGCUAAAAAGCAAUUACAUUCUGGAGCAAUUUUAUAACUAAAUAAAAGUUUUUCAACCCUGAUUUAUUUUAUCUUUGUCCCACUGCUUUAACUUCAUU